AUCUGCCUGCCUAUGUGGUUGCCUUAGGCAGAGUGAUAGAAUCCCAGGGUAGAGGGCAGGGACUUACUCUGUGUUGCUCCAGAAGACACAGGUAGGAUCGGGGGUGGAAAUUAUUUGAUGCUUGUUGUAGCUCAGUACAGUUAAAAACUCUCUGACAGUUGUUGCUGCUCAACAGCCCACUGAGCAGCUUGGAAACAGUAGUGAGCUCUCUUCAUGGAGGCGAAGGAUCUGUCACCAGAGUGAAGGAUCUAUACUGUUGCAGGAGCCAAAGAACAGAAUCCUGCACUGGGAAAGAGGUGCACUACAUCCUCCAGGAGGUGGUGAUGGGUGGGAUGGUGUUGGAAACAAACAUGAAUGAAAUCGUGGCUCAGAUUGAGGCUCAAAACAGGCUGGAGAAAUCC
rnacentral:lncRNA from 1 species